ACUCCUACGGGAGGCAGCAGUGGGGAAUAUUGCACAAUGGGCGGCAAGCCAUGACUGCAGCCAUGCCGCGCUGUGUGAAGAAGGCCAAUUCGGGCUUGUUAAAGACACUUUUCAGUCGUGAGGAAGGUAGUGUAGUUAAUAGCUGCAUUAUUUGACGUUAGCGACAGAAGAAGCACCGGCUAACUCCGUGCCAGCAGCCGCGGUAAUACGGAGGGUGCGAGCGUUAAUCGGAAUUACUGGGCGUAAAGCGCAUGCAGGUGGCUUGUUAAGUCAGAUGUGAAAGCCCGGGGCUCAACCUCGGAAUUGCAUUUGAAACUGGCAGACUAGAGUACUGUAGAGGGGGGUAGAAUUUCAGGUGUAGCGGUGAAAUGCGUAGAGAUCUGAAGGAAUACCGGUGGCGAAGGCGGCCCCCUGGACAGAUACUGACACUCAGAUGCCUCCCGUAGGAGUACUGUCAU
rnacentral:rRNA from 1 species